rnacentral:rRNA from 1 species
GUCCACGCCCUAAACGAUGUCAACUAGUUGUUGGGUGGGUAAAACCAUUUAGUAACGGAGCUAACGCGUGAAGUUGACCGCCUGGGGAGUACGGCCGCAAGGUUAAAACUCAAAGGAAUUGACGGGGACCCGCACAAGCGGUGGAUGAUGUGGAUUAAUUCGAUGCAACGCGAAAAACCUUACCUACCCUUGACAUGUCAGGAACUUUCCAGAGAUGGAUUGGUGCCCGAAAGGGAGCCUGAACACAGGUGCUGCAUGGCUGUCGU